rnacentral:rRNA from 1 species
GAACGGGGUCCACCGAACCUCGGUUUUGUGACGACCUAGUGGCGAACGGGUGCUGUAACACGUGAGAAACCUGCCCCGGUCUCUGGGAUAACAGCCGGAGACGACUGCUAAUACCGGAUACCGUCGGACCAUCGCAUGGUGGACCGACGAAAGGGUUACCGGAUCGGGAGGGUCUCGCGGGCUAUCAGCUUGUUGGUGAGGUAACGGCUCACCAAGGCAUUGACGGGUAGCUAGUCUGAGAGGAUGAUCAGGCACACUGAGACUGAGACACGGGCCA